ACAAAUUGUUAUGCGAAAGAUCCACCAAACCAAGAGAUGAUAGGUUUCCUAAUGGAGUUAGAAUUGUGGUGAAGAAGUUGAAAGACAGGCAAAGCUGUUCCAAAUGUUUCAGCUUGCCUAUUUCUGCAGGAAUAGUGCCAGUGAAAAGGUUGGAUGUCAAAUUCAGUAGUGUUAGGCUUUGCAAAUAUCCUAUUUGAGGAGGAAUUGAUCCAAAUAUAUGAUUUUCCUGCAGCUGCAGCUCCCCAAAAUAUCCGCCUAGUCCUCCAAUGGAGCUCGGGAGCCUCCCACCAAGCCCAUUGCUCGCCAGCUGCAGCUCAGCUAGCUCGGUGCAGUUUGCCAGUGCGGUGAAAAAUGGGUCAAGAUUAGAGUUGUUGCUGUG
rnacentral:lncRNA from 1 species